CUCGGCUACGAACCGAG
rnacentral:ncRNA from 2 species